AACUAUAUGCAAGAAACUGUUCUGGGAAUAGGGGAAUAAAACAAACAAAAAUUUCUGCUGUUAUAGAACUUAUUUCCUAAAGGAAAGAGAUAGUAAGAAGAAAACAUAAUAAAUCAAUGCAUUCCAUAACCAACCAGCCCAUUUUUGCAUCACAGAUGGUCAUAAUAAGAGCUAUGAAUAGAAGAGAAUAGGGAGAGCCAGGAUGUAGGUAUGGGGUAGUAAUUUGUUUAGGGUCAGCAGGGGAGACCUUUUCCAUAAGAUAGCAUUUUAGCUCUCACCUGAGAGAUGGAAACCAACCAGUCAGUAGAAACUCAUGUUAUGAGGUAGGAGUAACUGAGAUGAUUUAGGAAAUCUUGAGGAGCAGAAUGUGGUCAGAGGAGGAAGGAGAGCUGGGAGAGUUGGGAGGAGACUGGGCAGAGAGUUAAAGGGAGCCUGGGAGCCAGAUCACAGUAGCUCCUUACAGGUAAGGACUUUGUCCUUUCACCCUGAGCUAGAAAGCUGCUCAGUUCUGUCAAGAAAGGGUUUAAUUAAGAAUAUGGCAACUUUGGAAACAGGAAGACCUCUGGGAGAUUGUCACAGUAAACCAGGCAGGAUAUAAAGAUGAUGACUUGGAUCUAGGCGGUGGUAGCAACAGAAUUGGAUAAGAGGUGGUCUCAUGACUUCAGAUUCUGGCUAAGGUGGGACUAAGAAGAUUGGCUACAGAUGGGUUGUAGGCUUGAGAGAAAGGGAAGAGCAAGAAUGGCUGUGCAUGAAUGAAUAUGCAGGACACUAUGCUAAUUAAAAAAGCCAGGAGCAGAAAGACAAGGGCUCUAUGUGCUUGCUUAUGUGUGGUUGCCAGGGAGAUGAGGAGAUGUUGGUCAAAAG
rnacentral:lncRNA from 1 species